rnacentral:rRNA from 1 species
CAAUAGCGUAUAUUAAAGUUGUUGCAGUUAAAAGCUCGUAGUUGGAUUUCUGGUGGGAGCGACCGGUCCGCCCCGUGAGGGGUGUGUACUGUUGUGUCCGUCUCCCGCCAUCCUUGUGGGGAACGCGUCUGGCAUUAGUUUGUUGGGCGCGGGAGCCGCAUCGUUUACUGUGAAAAAUUAGAGUGUUUAAAGCAGGCUUACGCCGUUGAAUACAUUAGCAUGGAAUAAUAAGAUAGGACUUUGGUGGUCUAUUUUGUUGGUUUGCACGCCAAGGUAAUGAUUAAUAGGGACAGUUGGGGGUAUCCGUAUUCAGAAGUCAGAGGUGAAAUUCUUGGAUUUUCGGAAGACGAACUUCUGCGAAAGCAUUUACCAAGGAUGUUUUCAUUAAUCAAGAACGAAAGUUAGGGGAUCGAAGACGAUCAGAUACCAU